CAUUGUGUAUUCGGUAAUUUAUGUUGUAAUAGGUACCACAAAGUAAAGGUUGAAAAUGCAUGAUUUCACUUUGGUUCUUUUCUUUUGCCCAAACUAACUAGAAAUGACCUUGGUGCACACGGUCGAGGGUUCAGCUUAGUGGCUUGGCCAUAAAAUUGCAUCCAUCAACUUGGAUCUGCAACUGAAGGCAGGAUUAUUCUGUUAAGAAAAAUGAAGCGAUAGACCGCUGCUUUGCUUCUAUGGACACUAGAUCGAUCUGGAAUUAAGUGUAAGAUAAGAGUACAUUUCCCUCUUUUUCCUGAGACAGCUAACUUUGUAGGUAACUAUUCUGACUGUGCAAUUCAGGUGCCACUAGAGAGAUUUUCUGUUGAGGAUUAUUAGGAUUUUAUACAAUUGCAUAUUAUUUUUGAAAUGAGAGUUUGUGGUUUUAUGGGGAAUAACGAGCUCACGGCUCUUAGCAAAAUUAAUAUUUGUGUGAUGUGCACAUCCCGAUUUGAAAAGUGGGCACACAGUGUCCAUAGACAGAAGUCUCUGGAUUAACUGUAAUUUUGGGGGAAAUAGAGUAAAGGAAGGCAAAUUAAAAUAACAAACAAAAAAGAAAGAAAAAUGAAAAGAAAAGAAGAAAAGUACUUUGAAGGCACUUUUUCCAUAGGAAAAAAAUAUUUUAUUUUUUUAAGAACAAAUUCAGUUUGAAACA